UACGAGGGGGGGCAAGCGUUGUUCGGAAUUAUUGGGCGUAAAGGGUGCGUAGGCGGUUUGGUAAGUCUUAUGUGAAAUCUACAGGCUCAACUUGUAGUCUGCAUGAGAAACUGCCGGGCUUGAGUAUGGGAGAGGUGAGUGGAAUUCCUGGUGUAGCGGUGAAAUGCGUAGAUAUCAGGAGGAACACCUGUGGCGAAAGCGGCGCACUGGACCACAACUGACGCUGAGGCGCGAAAGCUAGGGGAGCAAACAGG
rnacentral:rRNA from 1 species